UUAAUGGCGGAAAUCUUUGGUGGUGCAGGAGCCUCCAUGGGAGGCAUGUGAGAUGCACAUCUAAUUUCAAUCAUUUAGAUCUUCAGUUCUGUCGGUGUAGAUUUUAUGUUACUUUCAACAUUGGCAUUCUCUUAGAUUUAAGGAUAAAAGUUCUCUCUUUUAUCUACCCAUCCUCAGAUUCAUGAGUUGGGAGUUCUUUAAACCCACCUACCCCAGCUUAGGCGUGCUUGAAAGCAUUCGAGAGAAAGAAACAAAGGUUUCCGAGUCAUGGAAAUGAAAAACUAGAAAUAGUCCAACAUUUCCCUUUCGUUCAUUCAUCACAUAAGAUGUCAUCUCUCAUCCCUCUUUCACAUAAGCUUUUUUUUUUUUUAAUUCUUUCCUCCAUUCGUCGUCCGUCAUCGCAGAAGGCGGCGGCAGACGUGCGAGUGACACGAGUAAGCUCAGACAACCUGUGGCGAGAGGCGCACGUGUUGACUUCGCAUGGGCCCCCGGUUGGUCGGUUGGUGAAUUUAACGGAAUCGGUGGCGAAAAAUUUUCUGGGGGAGGUGGGAGUUGGUGUGCACACACGCGUCAUGUACUAGAUCGCCCGUGUCGGAAGGAACCAUCUUCGGGACUCACGCCGUUUGGCUUCUUCUAAAAAUCCAAGUGACUAAACUCGCGAGACGUGGCAAGAUGCUGUCACGUGACUCAGCACGGGAUGCUGACGGUGCCGUGCUCAGGUGCCGCCUUCGAUGUUUGCCACGGACGCAAGCACGGCUUCUAAUCUUUCACCAGCAUGGCUCGAAUACAGAGAGCAGAACAAUUUGGCUCAGCAUUCUGAUAGCUACGUGUGGGACAAAUACAAGGUUGCUCCUCUUUCUUAUCAUCUUGUUUUAUUUUUUAACUUUCCCAGAUUUUUUCGUACUAUGAUUCAUCCACAUAUCAAAAAAAAAAGAGAGAAAAAUUUGUGACUCAAAUAUCUCCCUUUCCUGUACCAAAAAAAAUAUCUCCCUUUCCCUAUCUUUCACCAUUCUUUCGGUGUGUCAGCCCUCUUUGACUCUUCUGUAAGCCUUCUACUAGAAUUCCAAUUGUAACCUUGACUAAUCCGUAGAGAAACUGCCCUCUAGGGCCUCUACCUAUUCUUCUAUGGUGGAGUUCAUCUUUCCAUUCCCUCUUCUUUCAGUUGAGUGCUUCCUAUCCGAAUGGAUAAAUUCUUCUUGCUGAUCUCGUUCAACGAAGAAAGAGAGGUGCAGCUCUCGCCAAGAGUUCAAUGGGGAUGGUUGUGCUUGACCUCUUUGGAUUAAUGAAAUAUUGCAAAGCUAAUUAUUUUUUUUGAUAAAUAGAUGAAUUAAAAAUUAAUUGCCUUUAAAAAAUAAAGUUGAUUAGCAGCAUUACCACCCUAUUUAAUAUUAAAAAAAUACCGAGAAAGAAAUUGAGUUUAAAUUUUUUAUUAUUAAGCCUGACUAUAGUUUGGCUACCCUUAUCAUAUAUAGCAGGCCAACCCUAAGUAACCCAAAUCAUUGGUACAAUUUGUAAGUAUGAAAUGAUAAUUGGUGUACAUGGAUUGUUAAUAAACUCUGAGGUAAGUUUGUCACCUCCUCCAUCAUUGUGUGAGAGAAAGAAAAGAAAAUCCUUCCUUCGGUCCGAGGUUAGAAACCCCAAUUUCAUGAACUCAAAUGCAGAAAUUCAUUCAGUAGGAUUAGAAUAUUUUGGUUCAAAAGGGGAUUGCAGCUGUACCUAUAUUAUGUUAUAGAAGUUUACCACUAUUCUUAAAUUUCUGGUUGGUGUUGGAGUAUUCGUUGUUGUCAUUCCCCUCUAUUUUUUUGGCAUCAUAUCAUUGGAUAUUUUGAUUAUAGUUUUGAAGACUUUGUGGGAAUGAGCAUAAAAGAUAUCUGACAAGUAUAGUGGUCCUUUUUUAUGCAAGUGGAAUAGAUUAAAUUUUAAGGUGAUCAGCCUUCCAUGAACAAGAUGUAAAGUGUCGCUUGUGGCUGUGAGGCCCUCCAGCUAUUGAACUUCCUCCAUUUCCCUUUCAUUUAGGCACUCGAUCUUGUUAAUACUUAAUUAAGACCCAUAAUAAAAUAAUCUCUUUCUCUCUCUAUCUAUCUAUCUUUCUAGCAUGUCAUGUGAUACAAUUUCUAUAUGUAUUGAUUGCAAAGCGGCAACCACGGAGUGUUGAAAUGGUAAAGCUAAAAAUAACGAGGUAGCAAAGUAGGUGGAUGAGUGCAGGGUUUAGGGGAGCAAUGUGAGCUUAAUGUUAAUAAAUAUAUUUUUUAAUAAAAGAAGCAAAAUUGAUGCACAUGAACCAACGCUUCAAUUUUUUAUGGGUUUUAAAUAGGAUUUGAGUGGAGUCCCGGAUCAUCUAUAGUGCCAGCCCUUGGAGUUUGCUACAGCAGGUACUCAUUAGAUUAGGUCUCAGUUUUGACUCCUAGCUCUUAAGUGUCACGCCCUUGAUCCUACUUCACGAGCUAGGGUCUUAGUAACUGCAGCAUACUUAAAAAAAAUUCUUUCUACAAGCAUGUAAAACAUCUCAACAUAAUAUAAUAAAUAAGUAGUUUAAAAAAAUUUAAAUAACUAAAUUAAAAUUGAAUAUCUCAUAAAAUCAAUAAUAUUCUAAAAUGUUCCAUCAACUUUAACGAAAAUCUAGUCAAAAUAAAGAUAUCAAAAUCUUAUUUUUAGUCGCUCUCCUACGUGUGAGCUUUUUUUUUUCUUUCUUAUUUUGGUUCUUUUUGGGCCAUUUUAUGCUUACUGGGCAGGUCAAGCGGACAAGGCCUAGUUCUCUGGUUGAGAUUAGGCUGGGCGUUGCAAUAAAUUGAGAAGAAGUUUUGAGAGCAAGGAUGGGUGGAAGCCAGGCAGCAUAUUGGAGUGAUAUUCUCUACCCAAGACUUUUAUAUCAUCACAAUAAGAUGGACAUUAAACAAGAUAUUCUCAAAUUUUGGCUUAUUAAGGUCUGUCAUGUCCCCAAGCUAUUAAAAAAGAAGAAGGCACUAGGAAGUUGAAAAGCCGAGUCUUGACAUAUAACCAUCAACCCAAUCUCAAGAGAGUUAUAUAGCAAUUCAGUAUUGCCUCUAUUCCUACAAUCUGCAGCAGUCCUUAAAAAAAGAUGGAACAGGCAAUUCUU
rnacentral:lncRNA from 1 species